GGCGCCGUAGCUCAGUUGGUUAGAGCGUCGGUCUAGUAAACCGAAGGUCGAGGGUUCAACUCCCUCCGGUGCCU